UCUGACAGAAACGGCAGCAGCUUCAGGGUUAAAAAAAGAUAGAAAGGUAGGAAACAGCAGCUUCAGGAGUAAAAAAGAUAGAAAUAUAGGAAACAGUCCACAAUCUGACAGAAACGGCAGCUUCAGGGUUAAAAAAAGAUAGAAAGAUAGGAAACAGUCCACAAUCUGACAGAAACAGCAACUUCAGGAGUAAAAAAGAUAGAAAGGUAGGAAACAGUCCACAAUCUGACAGAAACGGCAGCUUCAGG